GGUCCCAAAUUAAUUCUAAGUCCAAAGCCGUGCCAUUUUCUUCUCCAAAUCCAGGUGUCCUGUUUUCAUUGGUUCAGAUGUACACUUGUCAGCUAUAAAAGCAACACAGUGGCAUUUUUUUUGACACGUUUUUCCAUUCAUCAAGUGCCAACUCAUAAACACAGAGUCACACUCUCUCUCUUGUCAGUUACAAAUCAAAACAGAAAAAGCUUCAACAUUCAUCAAUGGCGUAAACCUAACCUUUUUCAGAAACAGAAACUACACAAAUUCAAGCUAUUUUUCAUGGAUUCUCAGUGAUUCUUUGAAGAAUCAUCAUCAUUGAAUCAGUAUCUUCGCAAUUCAAGGUGCGAAUUCGCCAAAGGCAAACUCCAGCACCGAUCACGAAGAUAUAGUGAGGAAGACGAAGAAGAAAGAAAGACAAUGAAGGUUUAAACCGGCGAAGAAGACGAUAAAGCAAGAAGCCAGCAAGAACACCGGUUUAUUUCCGGAUUCAAAGCCAAAUCACAUAGCAUCAGAGAUUGAAGUUUUCCGAAGAAAUACGUAACAGCGUCCAUCGAAAUUCAGGUAAAGAACUUGAAUCUCUCUUUUUUUUCUCAAGCAUAAGAACGAAGGUGAAACGAUGUAGAUUCACAGGCAAAAACGUUUUGGUCCAAAAGAUUGAGAAAAACAGUAAAACAGUUUCAAAAUCGAAGCAAAACCACAGGAUCUACACCGUUUAAGCCUUUGAGUUCCUUCGUUCCUUUCAAAAACAUCUAUCAAAGUGAAUCAACAAAGAUCUGUGCCAGAUUCAAAGAGUUUUUACCAAAAAUAUUGAAACCCUAGCUUUUGAAACCGCAACAUAAAAGCGCAGAUCUACGUUGAUCCACGCCUUGCAUGUAAAAUCCAGUGCCAUAUUCGUGUUUAGGAUGAAAAAGGAUAUCUGAAAAUGUAAGUUUUUUUGAAAACGGUGAAGUUCGUUCAACUCCGGCGGCGGCGCCGCCACCCUUGGGCGGCCGGCCACCACGCCGGAGGAUCAAACCUCACCGGGGAAGAUGAAGAUCUUCCGUGUUUUCCAGAAUCCGGGGAAAGGUGAGAGAGAAAGCCAAGUAAAAAAUGAAAUAAACCGGAGCUCUGCUGCUUUUAUAAGCCAGUGAACCGGACCGGUCCAAGACCGGUCCAGUCCCUUUGUUCCUGGCCGUUUGAUCUAGGGUUUCAGAACCCUGGAUCAAUCGUACGUCCCCUGUGCAUCCGGAUCUUUUGAGUGUGGGCUUUGGGUUUGGGCUUAGUCUGUUUUCACGUUUUUUUUGUUUUUUUGCUACCUGCACCAUACUUGCCUGUUGUUUGCACCCGUUGUUC
rnacentral:lncRNA from 1 species